AGCAGCCGCGGUAAUUCCAGCUCCAAUAGCGUAUAUUAAAGUUGUUGCAGUUAAAAAGCUCGUAGUUGAAUUUCGGGGUCAGUAGUUUGGUCAUGCCACAGGUAUGUACUGAUCUUACUGAUUCCUCCUUCCUGAUGAACCGUAAUGCCAUUAAUUUGGUGUUGCGGGGAAACUGGACUGUUACUUUGAAAAAAUUAGAGUGUUUAAAGCAGGCUAACGCUUGAAUACAUUAGCAUGGAAUAAUGAAAUAGGACGUUCGAUCCUAUUUUGUUGGUUUCUAGGAUUGACGUAAUGAUUAAUAGGGAUAGUUGGGGGCAUUAGUAUUCAAUUGUCAGAGGUGAAAUCCUUGGAUUUAUUGAAGACUAACUACUGCGAAAGCAUUUGCCAAGGAUGUUUUCAUUAAUCAAGAACGAAAGUUAGGGGAUCGAAGACGAUCAGAUACCGUCGUAGUCUUAACCAUAAACUAUGCCGACUAGGGAUCGGAUGAUGUUAAUUUUAUAAUGACUCAUUCGGCGCCUUACG
rnacentral:rRNA from 1 species